AGCUUACUUGGAGUUGUAUUUCUUUAAGCCCCGGAGACGAGAUCAGACUUAUCACCGCAUGUGUUCGAUAGUUGGACGAGUUGAUUGUAAUAAACGCUGUUAAAUCAA